AAUUUUGGACAAUGGGGGCAACCCCGAUCCAGCAAUGCCGCGUGUGUGAAGAAGGCCUUCGGGUUGUAAAGCACUUUUGUCCGGAAAGAAAUCCUCUGGGUUAAUACCCCGGGGGGAUGACGGUACCGGAAGAAUAAGCACCGGCUAACUACGUGCCAGCAGCCGCGGUAAUACAGAGGAGCCAAGCGUUGUCCGGAUUGACUGGGCGUAAAGCGCACGCAGGCGGUCGCGCACGUGGGGUGUGAAAUCUGGCCGCUUAACGGCCAGGCGCCAUCCCAUACGGCACGGCUGGAGCCAUGCAGAGGGCGGUGGAAUUGCCGGUGUAGUGGUGAAAUGCGUAGAGAUCGGCAGGAACACCCAGGGGGAAACCAGCCGCCUGGGCAUGCGCUGACGCUGAGGUGCGAGAGCGUGGGGAGCGAAC
rnacentral:rRNA from 1 species